UAUUCAUUACUAUUUUAUUGUUGGUUUUUAAUCCCACUUUUAACACACUUGGCUAUAUAGUCAGUAUUCAUUUGUAGAUGAGGACCAUGCACUACUUAAUUUCCUCAGAAAAACAGUCAAUUAAGAUACAAGUCCAACUCACCUUGCAACAAAGGGUGUUCAAACCUCAGACUAUUAUUUAAUGUCCUAGUUCAAACUCACAACCACUGCGUAAGAGGUCCAAUGAUCAUUUCUGAAAUGAGAAAGUUUGAUGUAAUAAAAUGAUGUAAUUUUAAAUACUCUUUGUUCUUAAUUUCAGGUGGAAAUAAUCGGUCAAAAGAAUCUGGAUCGUCAUGUUGGCCCCCAUGUAGUGUUGGCCCUGAUCCUAACUCUCCUGAUCCUGAGAAUGCAAGAAGCCUUCUAAAGAAAAACGCUGAUAAAAAGAAUGAGGAGAAGCCUGUUGCAGUUGUAAGAUCACAACCACCCAAGAAUCGGCAUGUAAAGACAGACAACACUGAAAGUACAAGGUAUUCCGCUGAAACUGAAAUAUUUGAUGAGGGGGUACAUAAAAGUGCAAAACCACGUCCACUUCCUUCUAUUGGCCAGCCUACCAACUCUCCUAGACCAUUGCCACAGAUGCCUCCAAGUUCUCAACUAGAGAAGGGUGGUAUUCAACUGGAACCUUUAGGGGAUUCUACUUCUGAGAGAAAGAAGAAAAAGAAAAGAAAGAAGAAGGAAACAAAGCAAUCUGAUGAGGAGUAUUAAACUAUAUCCUAACACAAGCCUAUGCAUGAAGCGUGAUAAAGUGUAGAUUGUUAGUUUUACAUGAAUAUUCAUCAUACUUUAAUAUAAACAAGUAAUUAACUACCACAUUUUGACAUUUGUCUAAUUGGAAUCUCAUUUUAAGAUAAUUUUUUCACUACCUGCAGGAUCCUCUUCAAGAUGAAAGAGUGUUUAAAGAGAAGGUGAUACCGUCCAAUAAUACUAGCAGCUUGAUUCAUUUAUAUUUUGUUUGAAUUAUCUUGAUAUAUGUUUUUUUUUAGAUAUGCAGAUAUGUUUAAGUUGAGAAGUUGUAUAUAUAAAUCAAAGUAACACUACCUUAAAAAAUUAUCAGAGACACCUAGAUAUUUAUGAUUUUCAGAAUGUGAAUGGAACAGUACAAAUUUCAUUAAUGUUUAUUAUAUAUAUAUAUACAUAAAUAUUUUAUGAGAAACAAAACUUUUGUUGGAUGGUAUACACUACUAUAUAUCUCAUGGCUGUCAUUCAUUAUUUUAAUUACUGUGAAUUCAGAAAUUAUUGCGAGGUUUUUAUUAUUGCGAAAAAUGCGACAGAGUUGCAAACGCAAUAAUUUAAACUCUCAUUUUGAAGUAUUUUAUAUGAAUUAACCAGGAUUUUUCUCAAAAUCGUAAAAAUUAAAAUCGCAAUUAAGUCUGAAAUGACAAUAUCCCAAUAAUAAAUGCAUGCAAUAAUUUCUGAAUUUAUAGUAUUUUUUUUAAAGUAUCGUUAUUGAUGAUUCUUCAUUUAAUCUUAGUCAAAAUAUUUUUAAGUAAUCAAAAGGUGAUAAAAAAAACAUUGGCUUUAUCAUCUAUCAUUUCAAACCUUUUUAUAGAAGAGCCAAUAGUCAUCUAUAUAGAAUAAAAUUGAAACAUGAACUAAAUUUCAACAAUACAAAAGCUUCUGUAGAAAAAAAAUCACUCUGAAACCACUUUAAAGGUCCCACCUUUAUGAUCACUUAUUUAAAAUUCAAUAUUGGGAUAAAACAUUAAUAUAUGAAUCCCUGACUUUAAUAUAAAGGUUUGAAACCAGUAGAUAUCCUCUGAUAUGACCCCUCUAAAUUCUACAGGGCCUUUUCUAGUAGUGUUUUUAUUGGAAUUUAAUUUUAUUUAACAGUCCAACUUUAAAGUCAUGUUCCCUGUGCUGAAGGAAUUGAUUAGGAUAUGGAGAUAUUAGAACAAAAAAUAUGAAAUUUAGGGGAUGUUUUAUAAUUGCCUUGAAGACAGUUGUCCAUAGAACAAAAAAUGAGACUGUGAACAACUAAGCCCUGGUGACCAAUACAGAUUUAAUUUUCAAAUAGUGCUAAUUUCUAUAAAGUGUCUUAAGAGGUCACAACAACCAUUUGUAGUAUUUUAUUUUGCUGUUUGUAAAACAUUGUUUUUAUUUUAUAAACAUUCCAUCUUUUGUACAAGAAUUAACUUUUAACAUACUUGUCAUGCUUGUUGAAAUUUUUUGUUUACUAACUUUACCAGGCUUGUAUCUAUUUUGGUGUUUAAGAAUAUAUUGUAUUCUGUUGAUGUGCCAUGUUUUUAUUACUUUUGAAGAUUUUGUUAUAAAAUGUGCUUAAUAACAAAUAAUUUUGUCUGAAAUAGAAUGUAAAGCGUGUGUACUUCAGCCUUAUUUAAUAUGUACAAUAGUUACCCUUUUUGUUAUCAUACUUAUAUCUGGUAGUUUUACAAUUGAUAGUAUUAUUAAUUUAUUUUAUAAGGGUUGUUUAAAAUAAGGUAGCUUGGGUGUCUAAAUGCUCGAUACAGAUAUUUUUGAUACUUAAAUCUUAAAAUUUCCAGUUAUUUUUGUUGAAAAUUGAAUGAUUCCAUAAAAUAUUUUUUGAAAAGUGUUUUUGCAACUUGCCCAGAAGGGAAGCUCAGACAAUGACACCCAAUCUUAAAGAGUUUUUGAGUGUAUGAGGGGGGUGGUGUGGUUUGCUUGUAGAUUUUAGAAAAAAUACUGUUCUGAUGAGUUAUACUGAUUUACUUAUGUCUGUCAUGUGUACAAUAUUAAGCUGUUUUCUAUAUUUUUUAAGGCAAAACUGCUUGAAAUUUAGUAUUUAGCAGCAUCUGAGUUAGCAAAUUUAAAAUCUUGUUCACAAAUAAUUUUUUGAAAUAUUGUCUUUUUUACUUGAUUGCAAGCCUUAUCUCAGAUUAUUUUAAUUUUCCAUGUUUAAAGUAAUCCUGCUUAUAAUAUUACAAUGACUAUUAUAGCUAAACAUAAAUUUGUGCAUAUAAUCCAAUUUAUGAAUAAUAUAUGUGGCAAUUUUGACAUAUUUAGAUUGACUAGAUUUGAUCCUAAGUCAUACACAUUUUGUUGAAAAAUAUAGACAUAAUCUGUUAGCUGAAUAUUAAUUGUAAAAGAAAGAUUUGAUAUAAGUUUGCAUUUUGUUUAAGUGUUUGUGUUUCUUUUUCUCAUUGCUUGGAUUGUAUACAAUGCAGUAUUUUCCUUAGAUAUUUUUUUAUGUUUUACAGUGAAGGGAUAACAGAAUUUAUAUUCGAGACAUCAGUUAUCAUCUUGUAAUUUCAAAAAGUGUUAUACAAUGUAUCCGUACAGUUAAUAUUUUUUAAUUUCAUCAUCACGGCUGUUCAAAUAAUCCAUAAGAAUCUCAAUAUUUUAUGUCAAGAUCAUUUACGAUGUAUAGUUGUAAGGUUUAAGGAUAGUUUUGUUUUAGAAAGACAUUUUUUUUUAAACUGAAUUUGAAUCAAAUUUGAUUUUUCAUGAUACAUCAUAAUAUAGAUUAUAGGUGCAAGGGAGGUAAUUAAUAUAAAACUUAUCCUACUUGUUCUCAUAUUGAUCUUAAUUUUUGUUUUAAGAUCUAUAUUUUGAUUCUUAUUGAACUGAUUUAAAAUUAAAUUGAUAAGGUUUGAUAAAUUCAUCAUCCUGGUUGUGAUAACGAUACAUUGUACCUUACAAUUCUGUUAAAAAUGGUAUUUUGACUGUGAUAUUUUGAAGAAGCAGCAACUAUAUGCCUAGUCAAGAACUAUUUUAUUAUUAUUAAUUGAUCGGUAAAUUAUAUACGCAGAUAUAACUGUAUGAAAAUAUAUAUAAUCAGUUAUACUAUAUUUUUCUUGCGAUUUAAAGCAUUUUUUUUACUUAUAUAUAUUGUAUCAUACUUGAGUAUUGUUAGUUGUAAAGUUUACAAAUUUAAAUUCAUUAAUCAAAAGCAUUAUUCAAACUAAACCUUGAAAUCAUCAGGGUUCAUGUUAAGUUGAAAGGUUGACUUAGUUAUUUUGGUAAAUUUUCAAACUUUUUAUUUAUGAUUCAACUAUUUAUAUUUUCUGACUAAGAUCUGUUGCCAACACUGAACAUGUAACAUGAUCGUUGAUAUUUUAUUUAACAGCUAAAUUUAUACCAUGAAUUCAUCCGCUGUGUGAUUUAAAAUUUUUAUUUUAUAAAUUUUCAUUUCAUUACUAAUUGUAAUCUGUGUAACAUUUUCUUUAGAUAAUUAUAUCAAGGUAUCUAGACCGUGGCAGAAGUAGUGGUAAAAUAUUUAUAUUUUAGGCAACAAUAAAAAAUUAAACCAUUUGUUAAAACUCUAUAUCAGACAUCUCAAAAAUUCUGUUAAUCCUUUUUCCAAAUUAUAAAAUAAGAUUGGUAUUUCUGAAACAAACAAAAAAUAAAUUGCUAACGUUAUGGCAACUAUUCUUCAUAACAGUUCUUGUAAAAUUAUGGUCUAGGUACCUAAAGUAACAAAAAAUAUAUAACAUUGGGUUUGCUUUUAGUUUUAGUCCUGAUUUUCUAGUUUGUAACAACAAUUUUACAUUAUUAGUAUUUAC